rnacentral:rRNA from 1 species
UACGUAGGAGGCGAGCGUUGUCCGGAGUUACUGGGCGUAAAGCGUGCGCAGGCGGUUCGUUAAGUCAGCUGUGAAAGCCCCGGGCUCAACCUGGGAAUUGCGGUUGAAACUGGCGAACUAGAAUCUGGCAGAGGGGGGUGGAAUUCCACGUGUAGCAGUGAAAUGCGUAGAGAUGUGGAGGAACACCGAUGGCGAAGGCAGCCCCCUGGGCUGAGAUUGACGCUCAGGCACGAAAGCGUGGGGAGCAAACAGG